GCCUCGGUGGCUCCGAGGCGAGAGCGCUGGUUUACAGAUCCCCAGGUGGCGGGUUCGAAUCCCGACCGAGGUG
rnacentral:tRNA from 1 species